CGCCGCCGGUGACGUUGUGAGAAGUUUAUCGAACCUUAUCAUUUAGAGGAAGGAGAAGUCGUAACAAGGUUUCCGUAGGUGAACCUGCGGUAAGGAUCAUUG
rnacentral:rRNA from 1 species